rnacentral:rRNA from 1 species
UUUUUUGAGAAUUUGAUCCUGGUUCAGGAUGAACGCUGGCGGUGUGCCUUAGGCAUGCAAGUCGAACGGUCCGAUGGAUCCCGCAAGGGGCUCAUCGGACAGUGGCGAACGGGUGAGUAACACGUAGGAAUCUACCCCCGCCACGAGAA